UGAUGCAGCGACGCCGCGUGAGGGAUGAAGGCCUUCGGGUUGUAAACCUUUUCGCUUUUGACCAAGGCAGCAUUUUGGUGUUGUUGAGGGAAGAGGUAAAGAAGCUCCGGCUAACUACGUGCCAGCAGCCGCGGUAAUACGUAGGGAGCGAGCGUUGUCCGGAUUUAUUGGGCGUAAAGGGCUUGUAGGUGGCUUGUCGCGUCUGCCGUGAAAUUCCGCAGCUUAACUGUGGUAGUGCGGUGGGUACGGGCAGGCUUGAGUGUGGUAGGGGAGACUGGAAUUCCUGGUGUAGCGGUGGAAUGCGCAGAUAUCAGGAGGAACACCGGUGGCGAAGGCGGGUCUCUGGGCCAUUACUGACGCUGAGGAGCGAAAGCGUGGGGAGCGAACAGGAUUAGAUACCCUGGUAGUGCACGCUGUAAACGUUGGGAACUAGGUGUGGGGCCUGUCAUGGGUUCUGCGCCGGCGCUAACGCAUUAAGUUCCCCGCCUGGGGAGUACGGCCGCAAGGCUAAAACUCAAAGGAAUUGACGGGGGCCCGCACAAGCGGCGGAGCAUGCGGAUUAAUUCGAGGCAACGCGAAGAACCUUACCAAGGCUUGGCAUACACCGGAAGCCGCCAGAGAUGGUGGCCUCUUUGAUACUGGUGACCGGUGGUGCAUGGUUGUCGCCAGCUCGUGUCGUGAGAUGUUGGGUUAAGUCCCGCAACGAGCGCAACCCUUGUCCUAUGUUGCCAGCACGUUAUGGUGGGGACUAUGGGAGACUGCCGGGGUUACUCGGAGGAGGUGGGGGUGACGUCAAUCAUCAGCCCCUUAUGUCUUGGGCUUCACGCAUGCUACAUGGCCGGACAGAGGGGGAGCGAUAUCGGGAGUGGAGCGAACCCUUAAAGCCGGUCUCAGUUCGGAUCAGAGCUGCAACUCGACUCGUGGAGGUGGAGCGCUAGUAUCGCAGAUCAGCACGCUGCGUGAUCGUCUCGGGCUU
rnacentral:rRNA from 1 species